GGGCCAGACUCCUACGGGAGGCAGCAGUGGGGAAUAUUGCACAAUGGGGGAAACCCUGAUGCAGCAACGCCGCGUGAGUGAAGAAGUCAUUCGUGAUGUAAAGCUCUAUCAGCAGGGAAGAAAAUGACGGUACCUGAGUAAGAAGCCCCGGCUAACUACGUGCCAGCAGCCGCGGUAAUACGUAGGGGGCAAGCGUUAUCCGGAUUUACUGGGUGUAAAGGGAGCGUAGACGGCGCUGCAAGUCCGGAGUGAAAGUCCAUGGCUUAACCAUGGUACUGCUCUGGAAACUGUGGAGCUUGAGUGCGGGAGGGGCAGGCGGAAUUCCUAGUGUAGCGGUGAAAUGCGUAGAUAUUAGGAGGAACACCGGCGGCGAAGGCGGCCUGCUGGACCGUAACUGACGUUGAGGCUCGAAAGCGUGGGGAGCAAACAGGAUUAGAUACCCGAGUAC
rnacentral:rRNA from 1 species